rnacentral:rRNA from 1 species
CCUACGGGAGGCUGCAGUGGGGAAUAUUGGGCAAUGGAGGAAACUCUGACCCAGCAAUGCCGCGUGAAUGAAGAAGGUCUUCGGAUUGUAAAGUUCUUUAGUCAGGGAAGAAGUCAAUGACGGUACCUGAAGAAUAAGCUCCGACUAACUACUUGCCAGCAGCCGCGGUAAUACGUAGGGAGCAAGCGUUGUUCGGAGUGACUGGGCGUAAGGGUUGCGUAGGCGGUUGUACAAGUUAGAAGUUAAAUACCCAGGGCUUAACUCGGGUGCUGCUUCUAAAACUGUAUGACUUGAGUGCAGUAGAGGUUAGUGGAAUUCCUAGUGUAGCGGUGGAAUGCGUAGAUAUUAGGAGGAACACCAGAGGCGAAGGCGGCUAACUGGACUGCAACUGACGCUGAGGCACGAAAGUGUGGGGAGCAAACAGGAUUAGAUACCCGAGUAGUC